GAUGAACGCUGGCGGCGUGCCUAAUACAUGCCAGUCGAGCGAACAGACGAGGAGCUUGCUCCUUUGACGUUAGCGGCGGACGGGUGAGUAACACGUAGGUAACCUACCUAUAAGACUGGGAUAACUUCGGGAAACCGGAGCUAAUACCGGAUAAUAUUUCGAACCGCAUGGUUCGAUAGUGAAAGAUGGCUUUGCUAUCACUUAUAGAUGGACCUGCGCCGUAUUAGCUAGUUGGUAAGGUAACGGCUUACCAAGGCAACGAUACGUAGCCGACCUGAGAGGGUGAUCGGCCACACUGGAACUGAGACACGGUCCAGACUCCUACGGGAGGCAGCAGUAGGGAAUCUUCCGCAAUGGGCGAAAGCCUGACGGAGCAACGCCGCGUGAGUGAUGAAGGUCUUCGGAUCGUAAAACUCUGUUAUUAGGGAAGAACAAACGUGUAAGUAACUGUGCACGUCUUGACGGUACCUAAUCAGAAAGCCACGGCUAACUACGUG
rnacentral:rRNA from 1 species